UGGGGAAUAUUGCACAAUGGGCGAAAGCCUGAUGCAGCAACGCCGCGUGAGGGACGACGGCCUUCGGGUUGUAAACCUCUUUUAGCAAGGAAGAAGCGAAAGUGACGGUACUUGCAGAAAAAGCGCCGGCUAACUACGUGCCAGCAGCCGCGGUAAUACGUAGGGCGCAAGCGUUAUCCGGAAUUAUUGGGCGUAAAGAGCUCGUAGGCGGUUUGUCGCGUCUGCUGUGAAAACCCGAGGCUCAACCUCGGGCCUGCAGUGGGUACGGGCAGACUAGAGUGCGGUAGGGGAGAUUGGAACUCCUGGUGUAGCGGUGGAAUGCGCAGAUAUCAGGAAGAACACCGAUGGCGAAGGCAGAUCUCUGGGCCGUAACUGACGCUGAGGAGCGAAAGGGUGGGGAGCAAACAGGCUUAGAUACCCUGGUAGUCCACCCGUAAACGUUGGGAACUAGUUGUGGGGUCCAUUCCACGGAUUCCGUGGACGCAGCUAACGCAUUAAGUU
rnacentral:rRNA from 1 species